rnacentral:ribozyme from 1 species
GAUAUAAGGAAUUAUUCUACGUUGGCGGAGCGUUUGGAUCCGGAGCAGACGCUGAAUGUGUUGAAUGAGUGUUUUUCUGCGUGGGUGAAAGACGUCCAAAGCCACGACGGGACCGUCCUCGAGUUCCUCGGAGACGGCAUGCUCGCCGUUUUCGGAGCGCCCAAUGACAUACCGGAUCAUCCUGG